CGGCCCAGGCCACCGUAAAAGUCCCGGAUGCUGCAGCCCCUCGGCGCGGCCCAGACCACCGUAACAGUCCCGGAUGCUGCAGCCCCUCGGCGCGGCCCAGGCCACUGUAACAGUCCCGGAUGCUGCAGCCCUUCGGCCCAGGCCACCGUGACAGUUCCGGAUGCUGCAGCCCACGGAUGAAGUAGAGUGGCACGAUCUCAGCUCACUGCAACCUCCGCCUACUGGGUUCAAGCGAUUCUCCUGCCCCAGCCCCCGAAUAACUGGGAUGACAGCUCUCAGCCUCUCUUGUCUGCUGCCAUGUAAGAUGUGCCUUUCACCUUCCGCCAUGGUUGUGAGGCUUCCCCAGCCACCUGGAACUGAAAGUCUUUGUGAGGACACAGCUAGAAGGUGGCCAUCUGCAAGCCAGGAAAGGAGCACCCCCCAGAAGCUGACCAUGCUGGCAUCCGGAUCUCAGACUUCCAGCCUCCAGUACUGUGAAAAAAUAAAUUUCAGUUGUUCAAGCCA